AGAGUAAUAAAAAAGUUUUUGCUGCUACCAAAAAAUUAAUCUAAGGAUUUUACUCUG
rnacentral:tRNA from 1 species